AUUGAACGCUGGCGGCAGGCCUAACACAUGCAAGUCGAGCGCGAAAGGCCUUCGGGCUGAGUAGAGCGGCGGACGGGUGAGUAACGCGUAGGAAUCUACCUGGUAGUGGGGGACAACUUGGGGAAACUCAAGCUAAUACCGCAUACGCCCCACGGGGGAAAGCGGGGGACCUUCGGGCCUCGCGCUAUCAGCUGGGCCUGCGUAGUAUUAGCUAGUUGGCGAGGUAAAGGCUAACCAAGGCGACGAUCCUUAGCUGGUCUGAUCGAAUGAUCAGCCACACUGGGACUGAGACACGGCCCAGACUCCUACGGGAGGCAGCAGUGGGGAAUAUUGCGCAAUGGGGGCAACCCUGACGCAGCCAUGCCGCGUGUGUGAAGAAGGCCUUCGGGUUGUAAAGCACUUUCAAUGGGGAAGAAAAGCGUAGCGUUAAUAGCGUUGCGCCGUGACGUUACCCAUAGAAGAAGCACCGGCUAACUCCGUGCCAGCCGCCGCCGUAACAC
rnacentral:rRNA from 1 species